rnacentral:rRNA from 1 species
UACGUAGGCCCCGAGCGUUGUCCGGAUUUAUUGGGCGUAAAGCGAGCGCAGGUGGUUUAUUAAGUCUGGUGUAAAAGGCAGUGGCUCAACCAUUGUAUGCAUUGGAAACUGGUGGACUUGAGUGCAGGAGAGGAGAGUGGAAUUCCAUGUGUAGCGGUGAAAUGCGUAGAUAUAUGGAGGAACACCGGUGGCGAAAGCGGCUCUCUGGCCUGUAACUGACACUGAGGCUCGAAAGCGUGGGGAGCAAACAGG